rnacentral:lncRNA from 1 species
UUGAAAAACCAUUGUUAUUUCUAAGAAUUUAUUCAAUGUCAUAGUUUUCUUCCCUAACUGUGCAUGGAGCUUAAGGCCUGACUGCAGACUACUUGCAGCUGUCUUAGGAACAUGUGGAAAUCAGCAGAAGAGCCCAUGGAUACCCUGACCCUUGGAAACCUAUCAACUCAGCUCUCCACCUCUUCAAGAAGCACUGUUUACAGUUUUGGGAGAGAAUGUCUAAAUCUCCUCAGCCUCAACAUGACAAUCGUUCAUCAUCUGUUUCUUCUCAAGAAAAUAGUGUGGCAAGAACGAUCUGGCAGGGAAAACCAAAAAACGG